rnacentral:rRNA from 1 species
AAUCGCGGAUCAGCAUGCCUCGGUGAAUACGUUCCCGGGCCUUGUACACACCGCCCGUCACACCAUGGGAGUUUGUAACGCCCAAAGUCGGUGGCCUAACCUUUAUGGAGGGAGCCGCCUAAGGCGGGACAGAUGACUGGGGUGAAGUCGUAACAAGGUACC